CCCUUCAUCAAAGAAAAUCCGUUAAAGCCAAACAAACUGCAAGCGUCCAACGGAGAGGCUGAAAAGCCAGGGUAAAAUGAAAUCGGUACGUGACAAGCAUUGCCGAAAUUGUACUUCUGAAAAAGUAUGGCCUAUUAAAUGAAGUAAAAUCACAUCCGUAGCAAGAGAAGGCCAUUGGUCAGCACCCACCAAGUCACUACGAGUAUGUUCUUCCCAUUCGUUAUUCCCGGGGUAGCCUAACAGGACGCAAUUGCUUUCCCUACGUACUACACGAAGCAUGCGGAACGUGGGCGCUUAGCAACAUAUGUUUAUUACUGCAUAUCCAUUGCAGUUCACUUCUGUCAUUGAGCUUCGUGUGAGUCAAAAACGGCAGUGAUUGAAAGACUGAAUAACACCGAUAAGCUGAAGAUGCAGACUCGGUGGCCAAAAACGAUAUCUCAUCGGAAACUGUUGACAACGGCAAAGCAUCCUGGAUUCGGCUAUGAAAUAUCAGCUGAAGAACGCUGCGGAAUUGCAAUUAUCGAAUGACGGUGGACAAAACACAAAAUAAUUAAUUCGAUACCAGGUCUAGAUAUAAGCAGAAGUUGAGCCUUGAGGAAACAGUAGAUUUGCAAUGCAGAAUAAAUAUAACACGGAUAAGUUAGGCCUUGAAAACACAUGAGAUUGGCAAUGUAGGAUAAAUAUAACAAAUUUAGAAUAAAUAUGACAAAGAUUGUGCGUGAACAGGAAGUAAAUGAAGUUGACGUAUUAAAAGUUCAGUAGUUUAUUGUUGGAAGGCAAAGAAAAAUAUACAGUAUGUUUUCUUAAUUUUACGCUGGAUGGUAGGCAAGAGGAUGUACAACUAUAAUUGGAAUUACCAUAUCUCUGAUACAGAGGCGGUGCGAUCUGAAUAAGUCUGCAAUUUCACACGACAGAGAAAUUGCGGGUUUCAUAAAGCCAUUUUCCACUCUUAAGAACGGAAGAUUUUGGUGAAAUCAUAUCAUUAGAUUAGAGCAAUAACAUAAUGAAAUAUUUUCGAUUGUCUUCCGUAAGUUUCAAAUCAUUCAUC